GAACAUAAACUAACGAUGUGUUCAUAGUAUAAUUUUAAUUUAAAAUUAUAUACUAAACAUUAAUAAACUAUACAUCUUUAUGCUUUUAUGUUUAAACCGAAAUUUAUAUAUACAAAAGACGUACGGGUCAUGUCAAUAUAUAUGGUAAUUGCUUAUGGUGUCCAUGGUAUACCCAUAGAUGACAUAUGGGUCAUUGGUCAACAUGGUAUUGGCUUAUGGUGUCCAUGAUUGACAUAUGGGCCAUUGGUCAUCAUGGUAGUGGCUUAUGGUGUCCAUGGACGACAUAUAGAUGAUGUAUGGUUCAUUGGUCAACAUGGUAGUGGCUAAUGGUGCAUAUGGAUAACAUAUGGGCCAUUGGUCAACAUGGUAAUGGCUUAUGGUUUCGAUGGAUGACAUAUGGGCCAUUGGUCAACAUGGUAAUGACUUAUGGUGUCCAUGGAUGACAUAUGGGUCAUUGGUCCACAUAGUAGUGGCUUAUGGUGUCCAUGGAUGACAUACGGAUGAUUGGUCAACAUGGUAGUGGCUUAUGGUGUCCAUGGAUUAAAUAUAGGCAAUUAGUCAACAUGGUAAUGGCUUAUGGUGUCCAUGGAUGUCAUAUGGGUCAUUGGUCAACAUGGUACUGUCUUAUGGUGUCCAUGGAUGACAUAUGAGUCAUUGGUCAACAUGGUAAUGGCUUAUGGUGUCCAUGGAUGAUAUAUGGGCCAUUGGCUAACAUGGUAAUGGCUUAUGGUGUCCAUGGACGACAUAUGGGACAUUGGUCAACAUGGUAGUGGCUUAUGGUGUCCACGGAUGUCAUUUGGGUCAUUAGUAAACAUGGUAAUAGCUUAUGGUGUCUGUGGAUGACAUAUAGGUCAUUAGUUAACAUGGUAGUGGCUUAUGGUGUCCAUGGAUGACGUAUGGAUGAUUGGUCAACAUGGUAGUGGCUUAUGGUGUCCAUGGAUGACAUAUGGGUCAUUGGUCAACAUGGUAGUGGCUUAUGGUGUCUAUGGAUGACAUAUGGGUCAUUGGUCAACAUGGUAGUGGCUUAUGGUGUUCAAGGAUGACAUAUGGAUGACAUAUGGGUCAUUGGUCAACCUGGUAGUGUCUUAUGCUAUCCAUGGAUGACAUAUGGGUCAUUGGUCAACAUGGUAGUGGCUUGUGGUGUCCAUGGAUGAGAUAUGGGUCAUUGGUCAACAUGGUAGUGGCUUAUGGUGUCCAUGGAUGACAUAUGGGUCAUUGGUCAACAUGGUAGUGGCUUAUGGUGUCCAUUGAUGGCAUAUGGAUCAUUGGUCAACAUGGUAGUGGCUUAUGGUGUCCAUAGAUGACAUAUGGAUGAUUGGUCGACAUGGUAUAGGCUUAUGGUGUCCAUGGAUGAAAUAUAGGCCAUUAGUCAACAUGGCAAUGGCUUAUGGUGUUCAUGGAUGACAUAUGGGUCAUUGGUCAACAUGGUAGUGGCUUAUGGUGUCCAUGGAUGACAUAUGGGUCAUUGGUCGACAUGGUAAUGACUUAUGGUGUCCAGGGAUGACGUAUGGGCCAUCGAUCUACAUGGUAAUGGCUUAUGGUGUCCAUCGAUGACAUAUACGUCAUUAAUCAACAUGGUAGUGGCUUAUGGUGUCCAUGGAUGACAUAUGGGUCAUAGGUCAACAUGGUAAUGGAUUAUGGUGUCCAUGGAUGAAAUAUGGGUCAUUGGUUAACAUGGUAGUCGCUUAUGGUGUCCAUGGAUGAAAUAUGGGUCAUUGGUUAACAUGGUAGUCGCUUAUGGUGUCCAUGGAUGACAUAUGAGUCAUUGGUCAACUUGGUAAUGGCUUAUGGUGUCCAGGGAUGACAUAUUGGUCAUUGGUCAACUUAGUAAUGACUUAUGGUGUCCAGGGAUAACAUAUUGGUCAUUGGUCAACAUGGUAGUGGCUUAUGGUGUCCAUGGAUGACAUAUGGAUGAUUGGUCAACAUGGUAGUG
rnacentral:lncRNA from 1 species